GCUCAGAUUGACGCUGGCGGCAGGCCUAACACAUGCAAGUCGAGCGGUAGCACAGAGAGCUUGCUCUCGGGUGACGAGCGGCGGACGGGUGAGUAAUGUCUGGGAAACUGCCUGAUGGAGGGGGAUAACUACUGGAAACGGUAGCUAAUACCGCAUAAUGUCGCAAGACCAAAGUGGGGGACCUUCGGGCCUCAUGCCAUCAGAUGUGCCCAGAUGGGAUUAGCUAGUAGGUGGGGUAACGGCUCACCUAGGCGACGAUCCCUAGCUGGUCUGAGAGGAUGACCAGCCACACUGGAACUGAGACACGGUCCAGACUCCUACGGGAGGCAGCAGUGGGGAAUAUUGCACAAUGGGCGCAAGCCUGAUGCAGCCAUGCCGCGUGUGUGAAGAAGGCCUUCGGGUUGUAAAGCACUUUCAGCGGGGAGGAAGGCGGUGAGGUUAAUAACCUUGUCGAUUGACGUUACCCGCAGAAGAAGCACCGGCUAACUCCGUGCCAGCAGCCGCGGUAAUACGGAGGGUGCAAGCGUUAAUCGGAAUUACUGGGCGUAAAGCGCACGCAGGCGGUCUGUCAAGUCGGAUGUGAAAUCCCCGGGCUCAACCUGGGAACUGCAUUCGAAACUGGCAGGCUAGAGUCUUGUAGAGGGGGGUAGAAUUCCAGGUGUAGCGGUGAAAUGCGUAGAGAUCUGGAGGAAUACCGGUGGCGAAGGCGGCCCCCUGGACAAAGACUGACGCUCAGGUGCGAAAGCGUGGGGAGCAAACAGGAUUAGAUACCCUGGUAGUCCACGCCGUAAACGAUGUCGAUUUGGAGGUUGUGCCCUUGAGGCGUGGCUUCCGGAGCUAACGCGUUAAAUCGACCGCCUGGGGAGUACGGCCGCAAGGUUAAAACUCAAAUGAAUUGACGGGGGCCCGCACAAGCGGUGGAGCAUGUGGUUUA
rnacentral:rRNA from 1 species